UGUACACACCGCCCGUCACACCAUGAGAGUCGGCAACACCCGAAGUCAGUGAGCCAACCAGAAAUGGAAGCAGCUGCCGAAGGUGGGGUCGAUGAUUGGGGUGAAGCCGUAACAAGGUAGCCGUAGGAGAACCUGCGGCUGGAUCACCUCCUU
rnacentral:rRNA from 1 species